rnacentral:lncRNA from 1 species
AAAAGUGACGCCAUUUAUUUAACUGUUCAAUAUUUUGCGGACAUAUUCCUGUUUGGGAGGUGUUUGUGUUUGGUUGGGUUGGGGUUUUCAUCUUCUCUAACAGAAAAUGCCUUGCCUUGAACAUUAUGAGAGGUGAACAUGAAUGUGUUUAACAAUCCCAUUGAACGGCCAAAAAUGUUAUCAAGCCACCCUUCUAUUGAGAGCUGUCACAGACCAGAUGCCAUGAUAGCUAUGCACUGUACCGUAAAAGAGCUAGGGAAACCUUUCCUGUCACCUCGCCACCAAAGCAGAGCCGUUAGUCUUGCAUUCGGAAAACCGUCCCGCUGCUACACUUGUAUUGGGGAAACCUUCCCCAGUGGAGCUGAGCUGUAACACACAUUUGCUCUGACUCGGAUAGACUCUCCUGGUGCCUUGCUCCCCCUAGUGGUCUGAGCCGUCCAGUCCACCUACAACAGACUCGAUCGCUCAGCACCCCGCCCACCAGCUGCAGUUAGGUAAGCACCUUCUUUGAUGUAAACAUUUCCCUGUGUCCGACGAAGUGACCACUGGGUGUCCGGCAGCCCUUUAGUACUCUUGGAAGCAGAGGUGACCUCAGCCACAGUCUUUAAGGCUGUGGCUUGCCCUCUUCACUUGCCGCCAUCCCACCACCCUUAGGGCU